AAGCAGAAACAGAUAUCUGACAUUAUGAGUAUCAAACAAAUUAUGCCUUCAAUGAAUAAUUAAAUCCAAAAACAUACUAAUCAAAAUAACCAAAAAAAAGCAAAAAAAUGUAGGUCUUUUCAACAAAAUUCAAUGCUCUGGCUCCACAUUUCAGUAGUAGCAAUGAAACAGAAACCCCCACAAAGCUAAUGAUAUCUUAAACCAUAGUUUAUAGUAUAGUCCAUACAAAGCUCAAAGCAGAAAUUCCAGGUUCAUAAGCAAACGAUUCUCAAGACUCUGCCAUAGAUUCAUGAACAAGUCCAUAUUGCAAUAACAUUCUGAUGAAAGUAAGAAAUAUAUCUUGAAUUUUAUAGUGAAUUUAUCCAUUAAACUACUCAUGUUGCUGCCAAAAAGAAUCUAUACUUUUUCAGUCUACGUCAGUGACAAGCCAAACUUCUGCCCAGCCAUUUUUCAGGUCUUGGAGAAGAUUAGUUAUCAGAAUAGUGAUUAUCAAUUCAUAAUUUUCAUAAACUUAAAAAAUGACCAUUGUGUCAGUCUAUAUACAUUUUGGCACACAUAAUAUAGUUUUUGUUUAGUUCUAGUUGUGCUUCUGUCAAUAAGCAUUGAUUGCUGAUAAGUUAUAUUCACAUAUUUCCAAAUCUUAAAGGCUGGCUAACAUUUAUCCUCUAAAAACCCAAUAUAAUUUAUGAUUUUCCUGUUUUAGAAAACUACAAAUAUAAAAUCCAUAUGACUUACCACUUUUAUGAUGCUUCUAGAAUGAUUAAUCGCAAAGCUCACU
rnacentral:misc_RNA from 1 species